rnacentral:misc_RNA from 1 species
GAGUUCAUGCCCUCACGGGUAGAUCUCCCACCCUUGAAUAUUAUACCUUCGUUGCUUUGGCAGGCCGUGGAAACACCAUGGGCUCCGGCUGAUGCGUGCCUGCCAGAGGACCUAAACUCUGUUUGUCUAUAAUGUCUGAGUACUAUAUAAUAGUUAAAACUUUCAACAACGGAUCUCUUGGUUCU